GAGAGUCCUCAUCUGAAAGAGUUUACAAUGGGCACUGUCAAGCUUUCUCUGAGAAGACUGAGCCAUUGAGAUGCUUCAGAAAAAAUCUUAGUAACUAGCAAUAAAUCCCAUCCAGAAGUGAUGUUCUUCUCUGCAUGAUGGAGAAAUACCUUUUAGGUACUCAGGAUCAGCACUACCUACCAGCUUUCAGCCUGUUGCUAGCAAGCCUACCCAGAAAUACAAGGAACUGCUGAAAAAUGAGGAAAAAAACCUCCACGGAUACUUUAUUUUAAAUAAAUUUCUUGGAAAA